GCCUGGGUGGCCCAAUUGGUUGGGUGUCUGACUUUAGCUCAGGUCAUGACCUCAAGGUCCAUGGGUUCAAGCCCGCGCCAGGCU
rnacentral:tRNA from 1 species